CUUCAAUAUCGUUUUAGCAACAGAAAGUGAUACGCAGAGAUAUAAUUUCGGGCUACCUCAUCAUUUUUAUCCCUUGUCUCGAAGCCUUAACAGAGAGAGGUGAGAAGCACCUUUCUUUUGCCAAGAGGCUUCGAUCAGAUUCAAUCGACCCUGAGUGUUAUCUCAUAUUUGAGGUUAAGCGGGAAGUUUGAGUAAAAGUUGGUUAUACAUAUCAACAAUGGAGGACAUUCCGAUCGCAAUGAGAGCCAAGCGCAAGCGUGGCCGCCCGCGCAAGGACAGCAACCUCUGCAGCGCAUCCACCUUACCCUCACCGGAGUACUCAACCCUCAUGAGAAACCACACCGCCAAUCAAUCCAUCUACCCGACUCCUCCGGCACCAGCAGCAGAUCCCGACAAGAACCCCACCAUCGCAGACGACCCCAUGGUGGGGUCCGCGGUCUACGGCGUGGUGGAGGGCUCCUUCGACGCCGGAUACCUCAUCUCCAUCCGAAUCGGCAACAGCCUCACCCCCUUCCGCGGCCUCGUCUUCCAGCCGCGAAACGUCGUCGCUUUGACCCCCUCAAACGACGUCGCUCCGCACGCCAAAAUGCACCAAAGAAGAGAAAU